UCAGAUUGAACGCUGGCGGCAGGCCUAACACAUGCAAGUCGAGCGGAUGAAGGGAGCUUGCUCUCUGAUUCAGCGGCGGACGGGUGAGUAAUGCCUAGGAAUCUGCCUGGUAGUGGGGGACAACGUCUCGAAAGGGACGCUAAUACCGCAUACGUCCUACGGGAGAAAGCAGGGGACCUUCGGGCCUUGCGCUAUCAGAUGAGCCUAGGUCGGAUUAGCUAGUUGGUGAGGUAAUGGCUCACCAAGGCGACGAUCCGUAACUGGUCUGAGAGGAUGAUCAGUCACACUGGAACUGAGACACGGUCCAGACUCCUACGGGAGGCAGCAGUGGGGAAUAUUGGACAAUGGGCGAAAGCCUGAUCCAGCCAUGCCGCGUGUGUGAAGAAGGUCUUCGAAUUGUAAAGCACUUUAAGUUGGGAGGAAGGGUUGUAGAUUAAUACUCUGCAAUUUUGACGUUACCGACAGAAUAAGCACCGGCUAACUCUGUGCCAGCAGCCGCGGUAAUACAGAGGGUGCAAGCGUUAAUCGGAAUUACUGGGCGUAAAGCGCGCGUAGGUGGUUUGUUAAGUUGGAUGUGAAAGCCCCGGGCUCAGCCUGGGAACUGCAUUCAAAACUGACAAGCUAGAGUAUGGUAGAGGGUGGUGGAAUUUCCUGUGUAGCGGUGAAAUGCGUAGAUAUAGGAAGGAACACCAGUGGCGAAGGCGACCACCUGGACUGAUACUGACACUGAGGUGCGAAAGCGUGGGGAGCAAACAGGAUUAGAUACCCUGGUAGUCCACGCCGUAAACGAUGUCAACUAGCCGUUGGGAGCCUUGAGCUCUUAGUGGCGCAGCUAACGCAUUAAGUUGACCGCCUGGGGAGUACGGCCGCAAGGUUA
rnacentral:rRNA from 1 species